UUACGGGAGGCAGCAGUGGGGAAUCUUGGACAAUGGGGGAAACCCUGAUCCAGCCAUGCCGCGUGAGCGAUGAAGGCCUUAGGGUUGUAAAGCUCUUUCAGCGGGGAAGAUAAUGACGGUACCCGCAGAAGAAGCCCCGGCUAACUCCGUGCCAGCAGCCGCGGUAAUACGGAGGGGGCUAGCGUUGUUCGGAAUUACUGGGCGUAAAGCGCACGUAGGCGGAUGCCUAAGUCAGGGGUGAAAUCCCGGGGCUUAACCCCGGAACUGCCUUUGAUACUGGGUGUCUGGAGGUCGAGAGAGGUGAGUGGAAUUCCGAGUGUAGAGGUGAAAUUCGUAGAUAUUCGGAGGAACACCAGUGGCGAAGGCGGCUCACUGGCUCGAUACUGACGCUGAGGUGCGAAAGCGUGGGGAGCAAACAGGAUUAGAUACCCCGGU
rnacentral:rRNA from 1 species